UCGGGGUACUCGAGUGGCGAACGGGUGAGUAACACGUGGGUGAUCUGCCCUGCACUUUGGGAUAAGCCUGGGAAACUGGGUCUAAUACCGAAUAGGACCACGCGCUUCAUGGUGUGUGGUGGAAAGCUUUUGCGGUGUGGGAUGGGCCCGCGGCCUAUCAGCUUGUUGGUGGGGUAAUGGCCUACCAAGGCGACGACGGGUAGCCGGCCUGAGAGGGUGACCGGCCACACUGGGACUGAGAUACGGCCCAGACUCCUACGGGAGGCAGCAGUGGGGAAUAUUGCACAAUGGGCGCAAGCCUGAUGCAGCGACGCCGCGUGAGGGAUGACGGCCUUCGGGUUGUAAACCUCUUUCAAUAGGGACGAAGCGCAAGUGACGGUACCUAUAGAAGAAGCACCGGCCAACUACGUGCCAGCAGCCGCGGUAAUACGUAGGGUGCGAGCGUUGUCCGGAAUUACUGGGCGUAAAGAGCUCGUAGGUGGUUUGUCGCGUUGUUCGUGAAAACUCACAGCUUAACUGUGGGCGUGCGGGCGAUACGGGCAGACUAGAGUACUGCAGGGGAGACUGGAAUUCCUGGUGUAGCGGUGGAAUGCGCAGAUAUCAGGAGGAACACCGGUGGCGAAGGCGGGUCUCUGGGCAGUAACUGACGCUGAGGAGCGAAAGCGUGGGGAGCGAACAGGAUUAGAUACCCUGGUAGUCCACGCCGUAAACGGUGGGUACUAGGUGUGGGUUCCUUCCUUGGGAUCCGUGCCGUAGCUAACGCAUUAAGUACCCCGCCUGGGGAGUACGGCCGCAAGGCUAAAACUCAAAGGAAUUGACGGGGGCCCGCACAAGCGGCGGAGCAUGUGGAUUAAUUCGAUGCAACGCGAAGAACCUUACCUGGGUUUGACAUGCACAGGACGCCGGCAGAGAUGUCGGUUCCCUUGUGGCCUGUGUGCAGGUGGUGCAUGGCUGUCGUCAGCUCGUGUCGUGAGAUGUUGGGUUAAGUCCCGCAACGAGCGCAACCCUUGUCCUAUGUUGCCAGCGGGUUAUGCCGGGGACUCGUAGGAGACUGCCGGGGUCAACUCGGAGGAAGGUGGGGAUGACGUCAAGUCAUCAUGCCCCUUAUGUCCAGGGCUUCACACAUGCUACAAUGGCCGGUACAAAGGGCUGCGAUGCCGUGAGGUGGAGCGAAUCCUUUCAAAGCCGGUCUCAGUUCGGAUCGGGGUCUGCAACUCGACCCCGUGAAGUCGGAGUCGCUAGUAAUCGCAGAUCAGCAACGCUGCGGUGAAUACGUUCCCGGGCCUUGUACACACCGACCGUCACGUCAUAAGUGAAAGUCGAUAACACCCGAAGCCC
rnacentral:rRNA from 1 species